AGCCCUGUAGUUGACUUUACAACAUCGAACUGCAGACUCGAAGGCGUGCACCGCACUUGGGCUU
rnacentral:tRNA from 1 species